rnacentral:rRNA from 1 species
GCUGUAUGACCAUUCUUACCCGCCACGCUUAGCGCGUGGGGAGACAGUGUCAGGUGGGCUGUUUGUCUGGGGCGGUCGCCUCCUUAAGAGUAACGGAGGCGCCCAAUGGUUCCCUCAGAAUGGAUGGAAAUCAUUCGCAGAGUGUAAAGGCUCAAGGGAGCUUGACUGCGAGACAGACAAGUCGAGCAGGGACGAAAGACGGGCUUAGUGAUCCGGUGGAUCCGCAUGGAAGGGCCAUCGCUCAACGGAUAAAAGCUUCC